rnacentral:misc_RNA from 1 species
GAUGAAGAACGUAGCAAAAUACGAUAAGUAAUGUGAAUUGCAGAAUUCAGUGAAUCAUCGAAUCUUUGAACGCACAUUGCGCCCGCCAGUAUUCUGGCGGGCAUGCCUGUUCGAGCGUCAUUUCAACCCUCAAGCACAGCUUGGUGUUGGGACUCGCGUUAAUUCGCGUUCCUCAAAUUGAUUGGCGGUCACGUCGAGCUUCCAUAGCGUAGUAGUAAAACCCUCGUUACUGGUAAUCGUCGCGGCCACGCCGUUAAACCCCAACUUCUGAAUGUUGACCUCGGAUCAGGUAGGAAUACCCGCUGAACUUAAGCAUAUCAAUAAGCGGAGGA